GUAUAUAUAGAGAAAAAUAAUGAAAUAUUAAAAGGAAACUAGCUUUGCUAAUUUAUUGAGAUAAAAAACAGAAAAGCAGACUAGCUGAAAGUCCUACAAGAGGACAGUGAUGCUCCAGCCCAUUGGGACAUUGAGGCAUCAACCAAUGUGCCAUUAAAUAAUAAAACCUGUGAGGAGGCAAUGCGGGAGAAUAAAAGCCUAUUAAAGUGCUCCUAAGAGUUAAGACUCUUGCCAGCAGAGCCAUCUGUCAAGAGAUUAUGGAGAAGGAAAUUUCUGCAGGAAUUUUCCCUUGGGACCAGAUGAAGUGCCAAGAAAAGGUGUGUGGCAUCAGGAGUGAAGACAAACUCUGAGAGUCUUCUGCAGCGCUCAUCACAGAGAGGGAGCCCUCAAGCCACAGAGUCUCAGGGAAGAGGAAGAGCAGACCUGGAAGUCUGCAUUGUCUUUGACUGGAGAACCGAAGUCACAGGAAAAAGAGUUCAUGAAAACGAAUCUCCUUAGGGUAUCCUCAAGGCUGAGAAGUGGCCUUUGAGUAGAGUCAGCUCCCACAGUGGCUCAAGACCCAAGGCAAUUCAAGAGAAAAAAACAAAACAAAACAGCAGCUUUAUUCAAGAGACAACGAUGGCAUAUGAGUCCAGAAGAUAGGACCAACUAUGGCUUUCUGAAAUGAGAUGUUCAAGGAGACCGCAUGCUUUGGGAUCAAUUUUUUCUUUGGUCAAAAAGCACCAAGCCAAGAGUACAAAUGGAAGUCCCCUUGGCUAUUUCCCUACUCUUUUCACUUCCAGCUUCAUUCUGCACCUUGAAGAGAUCUUCUGUACACGUGGUGUGGAUGGAAUUGCCAUUGAGAUGGAGAAAGAGGAACAUAAACAGAAGGCCAGGAACCUAGAAGACAACAUUGAAAUUUCCUGGAUUCAAUCACCUUCUCACCAGUCCGAAUGUGGAACUCAGUCUCAAUUCAGUUCCACUGGAGUUGGAGUCAAAGAAUAUAAUCUACAGAUGAUUAAUCAGUUAUGCGAUUAUGUUUGAAGAACGGGGUAUUACACUACAGAUUCUUCAGAGAAGAGACAAUAGCUACCUUCAGUUUACAUUUGACAUCUGAAUGCAGGUAUGAAGCAGCAUCUCAUGUUGUGUGGAGUCUUAGGGUAAGUCACAAGUUAAAGCAUGAGAUGGGGGCUGUUGUACAAAGCUAUCCUCAAAGAUGGCUAACGAUAAAUUCAUAUAGCAAGAAACGGGAUCUGCCUUUUCCAUAGGAAACCAAGCAGAGCCACAUGUUUGAAAUGCUUACUUUGGAACAUGCAAACAAGUUUGAUGUCAAUCUGCUUUUCAGGAUUUCUCAGCCUAAAGGAUUUUGUUCUUCCUGAAGAAAAACAAGCUAGAAGGUUCUGAUUAUAAGUAGGCUAGAUUCCUGAUAGGAUGCUGGGAUGGGGGUGGAGAGCAGAAAGCAACAUUUUUGCCACAAAAUGCUUUGCUCCUAGAAUCUAUUGCUAGAGUUAGGGUGGGCUUUCAGGAAUUCUUAAAACUAGAUAGCAAUCCAUUCAUUAAUUAAUUCAGUCACUAAUGAUACAAACAUUUAUUGUGUAUCAAUGGGAGAUAAAGCAUAAGCUACCAGGGUUUCUUUUGAGGAAGAUACAAAUAUUAGCCAUAUAAAAGCUUGGGCUUUUUGGUUUCUAUCAAUAGAAAUCAGCUGAAGCUAACAUUGAAUCCAGGGGAAAUUUAUUAUAAGGAUAUAUGGCAUUCUAAGCAAGAGAGUAUACACAAACCUCAGGAAGGGAUGCUUCAAGAGGCCACAGAACUUAUUCCUUUAUUACUGGGGCCAUCAAUACCAUCUCAGUACCUGGCACAUGAUGAAUAGUGCUUGAUUAAUAGUUGUAUAAGAUACUUGAUUGACAGUUAUAAAAUAAAUUAAAUAGGAACCAAGAACA
rnacentral:lncRNA from 12 species